GGUCAUCGUUGAGAAAACGAAACAGACGGUGGCC
rnacentral:misc_RNA from 1 species